AAGUCUGACGGAGCACGCCGCGUGAGUGAUGAAGGUUUUCGGAUCGUAAAGCUCUGUUGUUAGGGAAGAACAAGUGCGAGAGUAACUGCUCGCACCUUGACGGUACCUAACCAGAAAGCCACGGCUAACUACGUGCCAGCAGCCGCGGUAAUACGUAGGUGGCAAGCGUUGUCCGGAAUUAUUGGGCGUAAAGGGCUCGCAGGCGGUUUCUUAAGUCUGAUGUGAAAGCCCCCGGCUCAACCGGGGAGGGUCAUUGGAAACUGGGAAACUUGAGUGCAGAAGAGGAGAGNGGAAUUCCACGUGUAGCGGUGAAAUGCGUAGAGAUGUGGAGGAACACCAGUGGCGAAGGCGACUCUCUGGUCUGUAACUGACGCUGAGGAGCGAAAGCGUGGGGAGCGAACAGGAUUAGAUACCCUGGUAGUCCACGCCGUAAACGAUGAGUGCUAAGUGUUAGGGGGUUUCCGCCCCUUAGUGCUGCAGCUAACGCAUUAAGCACUCCGCCUGGGGAGUACGGUCGCAAGACUGAAACUCAAAGGAAUUGACGGGG
rnacentral:rRNA from 1 species